rnacentral:rRNA from 1 species
UAACACAUGCAAGUCGAGCGCCGUAGCAAUACGGAGCGGCAGACGGGAGAGUAACACGUGGGAACGUACCCUUUGGUUCGGAACAACCCAGGGAAACUUGGGCUAAUACCGGAUAAGCCCUCACGGGGAAAGAUUCAUCGCCGAAGGAUCGGCCCGCGUCUGAUUAGCUAGUUGGUGGGGUAGUGGCCCACCAAGGCGACGAUCAGUAGCUGGUCUGAGAGGAUGAUCAGCCUCACUGGGACUGAGACACGGCCCAGACUCCUACGGGAGGCAGCAGUGGGGAAUAUUGGACAAUGGGCGCAAGCCUGAUCCAGCCAUGCCGCGUGGGUGAUGAAGGCCCUAGGGUUGUAAAGCCCUUUCGGCGGGGAAGAUAAUGACGGUACCCGCAGAAGAAGCCCCGGCUAACUUCGUGCCAGCAGCCGCGGUAAUACGAAGGGGGCUAGCGUUGCUCGGAAUCACUGGGCGUAAAGCGCACGUAGGCGGAUUGUUAAGCCAGGGGUGAAAUCCUGGAGCUCAACUCCAGAACUGCCUUUGAUACUGGCGAUCUUGA